rnacentral:ncRNA from 1 species
GCACACCUGCGCGAAAGCCAGCGUCGCAAAGCCACGGGCCUAACGCUUGUUCUCCAAGUCAUGGUCGCCGGGUUGCC